AAGGAUCAUUGUCGAUGCCUCAAUCCAGAGAGACCCGCGGACACGUUUCAACACCCGGGGCAGGGGGAGCUGCCGAGCAGCUCGCCUCCCCGAAGAGUCGGGACGGAGCCGCGCCCCGCGGACUCCCGCCCCGGCGCAACAACCAACAAACCCCGGCGCGGAAUGCGCCAAGGAAUCAACAAUCGCAGAGCGCGGCCCGUCGACCCGGCAACGGUGCUCGUGCGGGGCGACGCCGCAACACUCGAGUCCAAAACGACUCUCGUCGAUGAAGAACGCAGCGAAAUGCGAUACUUGGUGUGAAUUGCAGAAUCCCGUGAACCAUCGAGUCUUUGAACGCAAGUUGCGCCCGAAGCCAUCAGGCCAAGGGCACGCCUGCCUGGGCGUCACCAAUCGCCGCCCCAACCCCCGUGGCUCCGGCCACGGAGCGGGGCGAAUGCUGGCUUCCCGUGAGCACCGCCUCGCGGCUGGCUGAAAAUCGGGUUCGCGGUGGAGGAAGCGCCAUGACAGACGGUGGUUGAGCGUGCUCUCGAGGCCAGUCAUGCGGGCGGCCUCCACCAGCUCCGCACCCAGCGACCCGCGAGCGAUGUCGAUCGCCCAAGACGCGACCUCAGGUCAGGC
rnacentral:misc_RNA from 1 species